rnacentral:lncRNA from 1 species
CCUAAGAGGUGGUGUGCGCCCCGUCCCUGGGGUUUGACGUGCCUAGUUUAAAUCCUGCUGCUCAAGUACCUCUUACUCAUCCUAGCUACUCAAAAGGAUAGUCUGUGUCUGCGUACAAGCAUAGAGCAAGACCAGGAGAGCACAUUGCGCAGUGAUGCAGGGACCGGACUGUGCCCGCCACACUGCCCGCUUGCUCCUUCCUACACGAGGCUGCAGAUUCUUCAGUUCAUGCAUCACUCCUGGCUUAGCCAGACGUUCCCUCAGACAGCGGGCUGCAUAAUGCAGUGCUGUUUGGCUGCUGAGGCUCUGGGGCCUAGCUGUCAGCUGGCUUGUGCUAUAACGGGACAACAGCUAACUCAAAGAGGAUGCAGGAAAUAAAGGAAACGUAUGCAUUUUUAAGGAUAUGGAUGACGGGGGAGGAAUCACUGAUAUGCUUGUGAACUUUAGUGAUAUAUUUAGAAGCUUGGAACAAAACUGCUGUUUCACUGAAGUCAAUAAAAAUACUGCCAUUGAAUUCA